AAGACAUUAGUAAACUCGCAAUUAUAUCACCUUGUCAAGAUGAAGUCGUAGGUUAAAUUCCUGCAUGUUUUA
rnacentral:tRNA from 2 species